GACGAACGCUGGCGGCGUGCUUAACACAUGCAAGUCGAACGGAAAGGCCCGGUUUUUGUUGGGGGUUCGAGUGGCGAACGUGUGGGUAAGACGAGUGUAACGUGCGUUUUAUGUUGGGAUAACUUCUGUAAACUUGGGCUAAUACCGCUAAUUAGCUCCUGCUGCGCGGUGGGGUGUGGGAAGUGUCGGCGGUUGGGGAUGGACUCGGGGCUUAGCAGCUUGUCGGUGGGGUAGUGGGUGAGCAAGGCGUUGACGGGUGGCCGGCCGGAGAGGGUGACCGGCGACACUGGGCCUGCGAUACGGCCCAGACUCCUACGGGAGGCAGCAGUGGGGAAUGUUGCCCAAUGGGCGGAAGCCUGAUGCAGCAACGCCGCGUGCGGGAUGACGGCCUUCGGGUUGUAGACCGCUUUCGCCUGUGACGAAGCGUGGGUGACGGUAAUGGGUAAAGAAGCACCGGCUAACUACGUG
rnacentral:rRNA from 1 species